AUUGAACGCUGGCGGCAUGCCUUACACAUGCAAGUCGAACGGUAACAGGUCUUCGGAUGCUGACGAGUGGCGAACGGGUGAGUAAUGCAUCGGAACGUGCCCAGUAGUGGGGGAUAGCCCGGCGAAAGCCGGAUUAAUACCGCAUACGACCUGAGGGUGAAAGGGGGGGCUCGCAAGACCUCUCGCUAUUGGAGCGGCCGAUGUCAGAUUAGCUAGUUGGUGGGGUAAAGGCCUACCAAGGCAACGAUCUGUAGUUGGUCUGAGAGGACGACCAGGCACACUGGGACUGAGACACGGGCCAGACUCCUACGGGAGGCAGCAGUGGGGAAUUUUGGACAAUGGGCGCAAGCCUGAUCCAGCAAUGCCGCGUGCAGGAAGAAGGCCUUCGGGUUGUAAACUGCUUUUGUCAGGGAAGAAAUCUUCUGGGUUAAUACCUCGGGAGGAUGACGGUACCUGAAGAAUAAGCACCGGCUAACUACGUGCCAGCCGCCGCGGUAAUAC
rnacentral:rRNA from 1 species